UAGCUCAGUUGGUAGAGCGUAAGGUUCGCAAUCUUAAGGUCAGGGGUUCGAUCCCCCUAUACUCCA
rnacentral:tRNA from 1 species